rnacentral:rRNA from 1 species
CCCUUAGAGUUUGAUCCUGGCUCAGGAUGAACGCUAGCGACAGGCUUAACACAUGCAAGUCGAGGGGCAGCACAGGUAGCAAUACCGGGUGGCGACCGGCGCACGGGUGAGUAACGCGUAUGCAACUUACCUAUCAGAGGGGGAUAACCCGGCGAAAGUCGGACUAAUACCGCAUGAAGCAGGGGCCCCGCAUGGGGAUAUUUGCUAAAGAUUCAUCGCUGAUAGAUAGGCAUGCGUUCCAUUAGGCAGUUGGCGGGGUAACGGCCCACCAAACCGACGAUGGAUAGGGGUUCUGAGAGGAAGGUCCCCCACAUUGGUACUGAGACACGGACCAAACUCCUACGGGAGGCAGCAGUGAGGAAUAUUGGUCAAUGGCCGAGAGGCUGAACCAGCCAAGUCGCGUGAGGGAUGAAGGUUCUAUGGAUCGUAAACCUCUUUUAUAAGGGAAUAAAGUGCGGGACGUGUCCCGUUUGUAUGUACCUAUAAUAACAUGGU